rnacentral:lncRNA from 1 species
AUGUCCUUUCCACUGUCCAGACUCGAUCUGGUUGAUGAGGCUUGUGUAGGACAAUUUGUCCUUUUGACCAGCUUCCCCAAUCUGUCCAAUUAUCCGGAACUCCCGCCUCAGCGUCACCUCGGGCAAUCUGGUUGGUGCUGUGGUGGCAGUCCCCCAACAGGUGCGUUACACUUUAGAUGCUCACACAGGGAAAUGAGCUCCUUCUCCUCCAGUGUCAGUCCCUUUCUUCCUACAUGGUCCUCCUCUGCUCUGUCCGUCUAUGCUUCUAUGCAACUGGGCUGUGGGCUGAAUCAACCAUCCUCUGCUACCAAAAUAUGUAGCGUGGUGCAGAGUGAAGCUGUCCUCCACUACACAUUUAAUUUGAAAGUCUUUUAUUUUGUUCUGCAAAGGGUAAAAAUAUGUAUUUUAUCGUCACAGUUCGCCACACACACACACAGUAACUUCACACUCAAGUGUGUGUUCUCAUUCUCUGAACUUAUUUGAUAUUCUAACACAGAAAAAUCAUGAACAUCUGCACCAACAUCCAAACAAUAAAUCAUGUCUGUUGUAUCGCUAUUCCAGACCAGUUUCAUCAUGUACAUUCAGUAUCAACUUGUUUAUCAAAUACACAGUCAGCCAAUCAUGUCUAAACAUUGUCAAAUUAAUCAAAUCAAUCAUGUAUCUAUUUUAACCUAUUCAUUUAUUUAUGAACUAGACACUAGCAGUCCGCGCUCUUUAGACCGGCUCAUAGUUCUACUCUCCCGCCUUACGCUCGCUCGAGGUAGCUAGGCAACCAGUGCUAACUACUAGCUAGCCUUUUUCAGUACUGACCAAGUAACGUUCAUAAACAAUUCCACAUAAAACCCAACCGAGAUCAUAAACUACGACAUAACAUAUUCACCCAUCCAUUACACAAUUCUAACUCUCCCUUCUUACCUGCAGAGAGCAAAAAUAUGUAUUUUAUCGUCACAGUUCGCCACACACACACACACACACACACAGUAACUUCACACUCAAGUGUUUGUUCUCAUUCUCUGAACGUAUUCACGCGAGACUUCCCUUGUUCCUGAACACACACAGUGUAGCGAACGCGCCCUCUGCUGGUCGGAGUUAGACACUGCAUACUGCUCGAUAACUACAUUUUUACAAUAAACCAACCUUUUCUCACCAUAAAACACACAGACAAUUUUCACCACACUCUGAACAUGAGCUGUGCGAAAUGGAAAUCAUGUUAAAUGUAAAAAAUAAUAAUGUACCACUGAUGGCUCUGUAUGCCACAUUAGCAUACAAGCUAACAAUCUAGAUUUAGCCACAAGCCACAUAGCUCGACCGCAACAUCGUUAAGGCGAUAUGCAGCAUUGCGAGUAUUGCUGUAACCACCGACACCAUAGCCUUAUGGUCAAAACAUAGAGUGAAAUAUAUCAAGCAGGGGUCCUUAUUUGUCCAGCAGAAAAGCGGCAAACUCUGCAUCACUCUUGAGUCUUUACAAAUCCCCCAGCUCCCUCCACCUCUGAAAUGACUCCACCUAGUUUUCUUUCUGGCUUGGUCCAAUUCUUUCUUUUUACAUUGCUUCUCUUUUACGUGGGCAUUGGUGGGGCAUUUUUCGGCUUUGUUGUUGUUGUUGUCUGUUCUCAGCCAUUGUUUACAGUUUGGGCUUGAGCUUGAACAUAUCUGACCAGGUAAGAGCAGACACAGCGCCUGCAACAGGGAGGGGCACUGCCAAAUAUGCACU